rnacentral:lncRNA from 1 species
AGGGGUGCCGUAUUUCAGCUACCGUGCUUCCUUUUUCCUGAAAUGUAAGCAACUGAUACCUUGUGCUACCAUUUUUAUAUUUCAAGUUGUUUUUUUUUUUUUUUUGCACAGGAUGUGACCACUGUCUAAUCACUGUUCUUUUCUUUCUUUUUGUGACUGAAAAGCAUAUACUGCAAUUGAAGUAAAUGUUUGCUCUUCUUAGUAAGUGUAAAUGGUUGUUUUUUGGUUUUUUUGUAGUUUUGUUUUGCAUAGAGGAACGAGUCUUUGAUCUAGCAGAAUUAUUAGUUCAGGGCUGUUAUUGGCAUUACAGUUAGAGUAAUUGUAGUUAACACACAGCCAUAGAGUCAAAAACAAGGCUGGGUUGGAAUUUAAAACAUUAUAUUAACAUGUCCAUGUUUAGUUUAAUACUGCUUUGUCGGUAUCAUUUUGUCAUUUCUUCUUUAUAAAUCAAACACUUCAGCUGAAUAAUUGACCUUUAUUACUGUUUCAUAUCUGUAUUUUUAAGUCUAUUUCUUAGAGAGUAUAGACUAGUAUACUUACAAAAUAGAAAAGUCCCAAACUCAGAGAGAUAGCAUAUGAACCAGGGUGUACAUUGGAAGAUCCUGUGCUGGCCGCCUCCUCCGAAUCCUCUAGGCAGCUGCUUUGACCUAGAUUGUAGCACAACCCUGAGUCUGUCCCUUCUACCAUUUGUUGUACUGUCUUCUACUUCAUUCAGUAUGCUUGGGAAAUAGAUGAGUUUGUUUUGUGCAACACCAUCUGUUUUUAUAAAAGCUCGAUAAAAUAAAAGGUAAGUGUUUUGUAUUUUAUAACCUGUCAGGAUUAAUAACUGUUCCUAAGCUUGUUCAAUAUUACUGGUGACUGUCAACACUGGUGUGCUGUCAUUGAUAGGAGAGUUCUGUUGUUUGUGUCUGUACUACUGAAGCACGAGCAUAAGGGGCCAGGUGUCUGCACUUUGUUCUUUAUUCUUUCUGGCUCAACUGUCAAGUGUACAUUGUUCUGUCUGAUUAGGUGGAACGUGAAAUCAUUGUCUGACCAACUCUUAGAGGUUUGAUGUCUCAUAGCAAAGUUUUAUAAUGGUUUUUUACAUUCUGUUCCAGACUUGAAAACUACAUAUUAAGUGCAUAUUCAGUCUUGUUUAUUAUACAGUAGAGGUUGAGAAUAUGACUCAUGAAAUGAAUGUGCCUAUCUUUUCACUUGGUAUUGAAUUAUAAAAAUAAAAGGAGUUUUUCAUAAGUUCACUAAUGACUUCCCAGUUAGUAUUGUUAAUGCUAAAAUUAUAACUAUAGAUGCCAAAAGAUAUUGAAAAAUAUUUAAUACAGAUCCAGAUUUCAGUCUUCCAAAUUUUAUUAGUCCAAAUUAGGAUGAAUCAGUUGACUGUCCUAGAAUCUAAGUGUCCGGUUUCACUCAAGUCUCCUCAUCCUAGGACUUCUCCACUGCCUACUCCCUUUGAUUUUUUUUUUCCCCCUCCCAUUAGGACAACUUCUUUAAGUUAUUUGAUUGCAUAGGGGCUAAACAUUAAAGAAAAGAGAUAUCCUUGAAAGAAAUUCACCAGUCAGGUAGCUAACUCUCAAAUGCUAAAAGCUGAGUGCAGCCACACGGAGACAUCCUGCGGGAAGUAACAGUGAAGCUCUACAACCCAAGGAGCCUCCCGUAGGAUUUGGGUUUUUCCAGCCUCAUUAACUGUGUGCAUGAGGACAGAACGUGCUGUUUUCCACAUUUCACACCCACUCGCCAAACUUCUGAUACAAUGGGAAGCCUUCUGAAAUUGCUUUAAAUUUGGAUCUCUCUGGUGUAGUAAGUAAGUUUUGUUUAGACUUAAGAGUCUUUCAUAGAAAUGGAUUGGUAACAACAGUAACAAUCCCACUUGUGAAUUAAUUAACAUCACACUGCUUUUCCACCUCUGCUGCCUGGCAAGUUUUGUGUAGCUUGUUUGGCUCCAAUGACUCAUCCAAGAAGUGAGAUGAAUUGAUUAUAUUUUCAUUUAAAUUUUAUUUAGUCCUUGAAUGUACUAGGAAUACAAUGGCAUUCUCAUCCUUCCCAACCUCUUUGACAGGAAAAGCAGAUGAUAAAAGUGCUAAAAAGCAAUUUUAUCUAUGUUAAUAGUGAUCUUUGUGUAUUUAUUUAAAAAGUAUAUAUAUUAAAAUAAAUUAUCUAAAU